GACGAACGCUAGCGGCAGGCCUAACACAUGCAAGUCGAGGGGUAGAAGGAGCUUGCUCCUUUGAGACCGGCGCACGGGUGCGUAACGCGUAUGCAAUCUACCUUUUACAGAGGGAUAGCCCAGAGAAAUUUGGAUUAAUACCUCAUAGUAUAUAUCAUCCGCAUGUUUGGUAUAUUAAAGUUCCAACGGUAAAAGAUGAGCAUGCGUCCCAUUAGUUAGUUGGUAAGGUAACGGCUUACCAAGACGAUGAUGGGUAGGGGUCCUGCGAGGGGGGUCCCCCACACUGGUACUGAGACACGGACCAGACUCCUACGGGAGGCAGCAGGGAGGGAUAUUGGUCAAUGGACGCAAGUCUGAACCAGCCAUGCCGCGUGCAGGAAGACGGUCCUAUGGAUUGUAAACUGCUUUUGUACGGGAAGAAACACUCCUACGUGUAGGAGCCUGACGGUACCGUAAGAAUAAGGAUCGGCUAACUCCGUGCCAGCCGCCGCGGUAAGAC
rnacentral:rRNA from 1 species